CUUGGUCAUUUAGAGGAAGUAAAAGUCGUAACAAGGUUUCCGUAGGUGAACCUGCGGAAGGAUCAUUACCGAAUUGUCAAACGGGUUGUUGCUGGUCUUCAAACGGGGACAUGUGCACGCUCCGUUUACACAUCCACUCACACCUGUGCACCCUCCGUAGUUCUAUGGUCUGGGGGACCCUGUCUUCCUGCCGUGGUUCUACGUCUUUACACACACUCUGUAAUAAAGUCUUAUGGAAUGUAUGCCGCGUCUAACGCAAUACAAUACAACUUUCAGCAACGGAUCUCUUGGCUCUCGCAUCGAUGAAGAACGCAGCGAAAUGCGAUAAGUAAUGUGAAUUGCAGAAUUCAGUGAAUCAUCGAAUCUUUGAACGCACCUUGCGCCCCUUGGCUAUUCCGAGGGGCAUGCCUGUUUGAGUAUCAUGAACACCUCAACUCUCAUGGUUCGCCAUGAUGAGCUUGGACUCUGGGGGUUUUGCUGGCCUGUGGUCGGCUCCCCUCAAAUGAAUCAGCCUCCCAGUGUUUGGUGGCAUCACGGGUGUGAUAAAUAUCUACGCUCGCGGUUGUCUGCCAGGUAACCUUUGGUGACAAAGGUUCGCUGGAGCUCACAGAUGUCUCUCCUCGGCGAGGACAGCUUUUUUGAACGUUCGAUCUCAAAUCAGGUAGGACUACCCGCUGAACUUAAGCAUAUCAAUAAGCGGAGGA
rnacentral:rRNA from 1 species